AGAUUGAACGCUGGCGGCAUGCCUUACACAUGCAAGUCGAACGGUAGAGUAGCAAUACUCGAGAGUGGCGAACGGGUGAGUAAUAUAUCGGAACGUGCCCAGUCGUAGGGGGAUAACGUAGAGAAAUUUACGCUAAUACCGCAUACGAUCUACGGAUGAAAGCGGGGACUCGCAAGAGCCUCGCGCGAGUUGGAGCGGCUGAUAUCAGAUUAGGUUGUGGUGAGGUAAAGCUACACCAAGCCGACGAUCUACGUAGCUGGUUUGAGAGAACGACCAGCCACACGUGGACUGAGACACGGCCCAGACUCCGUACGGGAGGCAGCAGGUGGGAAUUUGGACAGUGGGACGAAGCC
rnacentral:rRNA from 1 species